UUCUAUGCAAGCUAACACAUUUGUUCAAGUCAGUAGCCUUCAAAACCAGAUGAUAUAAUUCAGAUUGUGAACCAAACUCUGUGUCACCCAGAACCACUUUUUUUACACUCACUUUUGAAGAAGAUCCAUAACUUCAUUGUACCUAAAUGAAAAACUUAUAAGUAGAUUUGAAGGCUAUGAACCAUCGUUAAGCCUGCCAAAUCUUGUUGGGAUUUUGAAUGGAACUGAUCCAUUACCAUUUGGCUUCUUAUAUAGAACUCGAAACAAAAUUGUGGAGUUUGCCAUCACAUAGACGCUCCACUAACAUUCAGGACUUCCUUGACUGCCCCAUGGAAAUCUUCUCCCAUAAUUGAUUUUAUUUAGACUAACUCCUUACUUUCUGAGCUGACAAUAUUUUAAGAGAUGAGGCCAGAGAUUUCUUCCAUUUCUGUUUUUGUCGUAAAAUACAAAGACAUAUUUGUUUGAAGGCAAGAGUGAGCUGCUGAGGCAGCCAGAAAUUGAGGUGCCAAACCCUCAGAUGUGAAGUUCAUUGAGGUGAGUCCAAUAUUUUUUUUUUUCAGGUAAAAUAUGAGUCAUAGUCCUUUUUAAAGUUAGGCCUGUAACUCACAUUAUGAAAGAGGGACUAUUAUCAAGAUAAAAGACAAAUGGGUGUUCACGUUUGUCUUUAGGGAUUUCAUCUGGUAACUUUGGUUUCUUUGCCUGAUCUCUAUAUAUGCCAUGAUAUUCAGGCUCAGGCAAUCACUUGGAGUCUUUCAUUUGGACUAGGGCGCCUGUGAUGUUUUGGCCUCAGGGAUACUGCUCAGAGUUACAGGUAUACUCUACAGUGUCUACCUUAAAUGCCUAAAGUUUCAAAGAGGAAACAGAAAGGAAGAUUUUUUAAAUCCCUAUGCUAUAUAUUUGAUGAUAAUCUAAUUGGAACAGAGACUAAAACAAGGACACAAGAUAUCAGAAGGCAACACUAUUCUUCCCAUCAAAUGUGCUUUUUUCUGGUGUUCCCACCUCAGUUAGUGAGCCCUCUAUCCAAUGACGUAGUUUCUUAUGCCAGAAAGUCAGGGAGUAGGGAGUAUCAUACAAAGAAGCCUAUCAGGUUGAAAGAAGCCCCUCUCUCCCAUAAUGUCUAUCCUAUUAGUUAUCAAAAUGAGUGGCUAAUAAAGUCAGUAGAAAUAUAGGCAGAAAGUAAACAUGUAGUCUCAUAUUUGAUUGAAUUCUGAGAACAAUUUACUAUAUUUCUUCAAGUUGACCUGAGGAACUCAGUAAUUUGUCAGAGAGAUUAAAGCCAGAAAAUUUUGGAACUGAGAUUUUAUGAACCAUUGAAGCAGACCAAUUCCUUAUUUUCCAGAUGGGGCAGCUGAGG
rnacentral:lncRNA from 1 species